AACCCCUGGCAAUGGGCAAAAAGACACCUUGGUGGUGGUGGUGUUCUUAUAUCAGUCAGGGGCAGAGCAGAUGACAGCCCUUUGUUCAUCAUAGCUUGAAGCCUGGCCUGGUAGCCAAAGCUGUUUCAUGCCUAGGGCACAUAA
rnacentral:snoRNA from 1 species